CAUCAAGAGCCAGCUGAGUGACGCCACUGCCUGCCGACCUCGACCGGACCUCGACCGGCUCGUCUGUGUUGCCAAUCGACUCGGCGUGGCGUCGGUCGUGGUAGAUAGGCGGUCAUACAUUCGAAUUUUCUACUGUUG
rnacentral:pre_miRNA from 1 species